UGAGGAAUAUUGGUCAAUGGACGAGAGUCUGAACCAGCCAAGUAGCGUGCAGGAUGACGGCCCUAUGGGUUGUAAACUGCUUUUGUUUGGGAAUAAUCGACAUUACGUGUAAUGUUUUGCAUGUACCAUUCGAAUAAGGACCGGCUAAUUCCGUGCCAGCAGCCGCGGUAAUACGGAAGGUCCAGGCGUUAUCCGGAUUUAUUGGGUUUAAAGGGAGUGUAGGCGGUUGGUUAAGCGUGUUGUGAAAUGUAGAUGCUCAACAUCUGACUUGCAGCGCGAACUGGCUGACUUGAGUACACACAACGUAUGCGGAAUUCAUGGUGUAGCGGUGAAAUGCUUAGAUAUCAUGAAGAACUCCGAUUGCGAAGGCAGCUGACGGGAGUGUUACUGACGCUUAAGCUCGAAGGUGCGGGUAUCGAACAGG
rnacentral:rRNA from 1 species